AUAACAGCUGCCUACAGCUGGCUGGAACUCCUGCUGCCUCUGGGGUUUGUGUCACACUCACAGACACGAGAUAAUGCCAUAAUCAUUCAAACCUUGGGAAUAAUGGAUGUAGCAGCAUCCCAUGAGGCCCAUCUCUCAGCCUGUUCAGGACAGACUGCUGUCCAUUGGCCCCUGAUUGUGGAUGGAUAUGGAAGUGAUGGAGGUGUUCAGGGAAUGCUGAUAGAUUUUCUCUAGCCUGGGUAACCUGGUCAUUAAGAAGGCUAAUAGACCUCUUUCUACAGGGAAACAUGUAAGCAAGAGGUGCUCAAAAAGAAUUCAAGUCUCUAGAAAGCAGUUUCUGCAAGUAUUCAACCUAAAAUCUGGCCCAGAUUGUCUGACUUCCAUGGAGUGGUUGUCUUGCCCAGAUGAGUUCAAAUCUCCUGUAAAUGGAUUUGUCUAUUAUGUAAUUUAUAUCUUUUGCUUGUAAAGAGCAUUUGGGUGACACCCAGUCAGUGGAAUGACCAGACUUGGCUCUCAGGACACUAAUUCCAGGUGUUCUGUUUAAGGGAAGACCAGAGGAGCUCAGAGUAUUUCCCUUUCUGGGACAAAGAAGGCUCAAAACAUUCUGGGUAAGUGCAACGGCUUGUAGGGAGAGAGGCAUCCAUGGGAAUGGCAGUUCCUAUCUUCCUAUAGACACGGACAGCUGUGUAUGUCAGGGGCAGGACAGAGUGCCAGUACAUCCAGUAGUCCCAGAAUCCAGUGAUUUUGCUUAAUUAAAUCUGCAGUUG